UGAGGAAUAUUGGUCAAUGGGCGAGAGCCUGAACCAGCCAAGUAGCGUGCAGGAUGACGGCCCUAUGGGUUGUAAACUGCUUUUAUAUGGGAAUAAAGUGAGGGACGUGUCCCUUAUUGCAUGUACCAUACGAAUAAGGACCGGCUAAUUCCGUGCCAGCAGCCGCGGUAAUACGGAAGGUCCAGGCGUUAUCCGGAUUUAUUGGGUUUAAAGGGAGCGUAGGCUGUUUGUUAAGCGUGUUGUGAAAUGUAAGAGCUCAACUUUUAGAUUGCAGCGCGAACUGGCAGACUUGAGUGCGCACAACGUAGGCGGAAUUCAUGGUGUAGCGAUGAAAUGCUUAGAUAUCACGAAGAACUCCGAUCGCGAAGGCAGGUGUCCGGGCUGCAACUGACGCUGAGGCUCGAAAGUGUGGGUAUCAAACAGG
rnacentral:rRNA from 1 species